UACGUAGGGGGCAAGCGUUGUCCGGAAUCAUUGGGCGUAAAGCGCGUGUAGGCGGCCCGAUAAGUCCGCUGUGAAAGUCCAGGGCUCAACCCUGGGAUGCCGGUGGAUACUGUCGGGCUCGAGUCCGGAAGAGGAGUGUGGAAUUCCUGGUGUAGCGGUGAAAUGCGCAGAUAUCAGGAGGAACACCAAUGGCGAAGGCAGCACUCUGGGACGUGACUGACGCUAAGACGCGAAAGCGUGGGGAGCAAACAGG
rnacentral:rRNA from 1 species